rnacentral:lncRNA from 10 species
CCCUCUUCCUGCCCAACUGGAGUCUCAUCACCACCAUCAGUCUUGGGACCAUAGGACUGAUCUAAUUUUAUUCUUUAAUCCUAUUUAUUUCAUUACCUCAAAAAGCCCAACAUGGAAUAGAGAUUUCAGAGCAAGAAGAGUUUUUAUUAAUGACCUGCCGACAUCAUACAGUUCAUGAAAUGCUCUGGAUGUGUACAUGCUGAUGAUACGACCUCAGACCCAGCAAGAGCUCAGUGCAGCCCGGAGAGCUGUGAGCAGUGCCACAGGAGGAGAUGACUGGUGAGUGAAAUAAGCAAGAUAGGAGUUGAAGUGUACAUGAAGCAGAGUCCAAGCCUUCUCCUUCUGGAUGUUCAGCUGGAUCAUCCUGACUGCUCCCACUUUCAUCUUGGCUUUCAAAGGCAAGAGGAAAUUAUAAGGAAUAUUCUGAGUGGCUUUCAUCCAGGAGUUCUGUGGGACCCGCAACACCUGGAUGGUAGAUGCAAACA